rnacentral:rRNA from 1 species
GCGGCGUGCUUACACAUGCAAGUCGAACGAUGAACCACUUCGGUGGGGAUUAGUGGCGAACGGGUGAGUAACACGUGGGCAAUCUGCCCUGCACUCUGGGACAAGCCCUGGAAACGGGGUCUAAUACCGGAUAUUGACCUUCACGGGCAUCUGUGAGGUUCGAAAGCUCCGGCGGUGCAGGAUGAGCCCGCGGCCUAUCAGCUUGUUGGUGAGGUAAUGGCUCACCAAGGCGACGACGGGUAGCCGGCCUGAGAGGGCGACCGGCCACACUGGGACUGAGACACGGCCCAGACUCCUACGGGAGGCAGCAGUGGGGAAUAUUGCACAAUGGGCGAAAGCCUGAUGCAGCGACGCCGCGUGAGGGAUGACGGCCUUCGGGUUGUAAACCUCUUUCAGCAGGGAAGAAGCGAAAGUGACGGUACCUGCAGAAGAAGCGCCGGCUAACUACGUGCCAGCAGCCGCGGUAAUACGUAGGGCGCAAGCGUUGUCCGGAAUUAUUGGGCGUAAAGAGCUCGUAGGCGGCUUGUCACGUCGGUUGUGAAAGCCCGGGGCUUAACCCCGGGUCUGCAGUCGAUACGGGCAGGCUAGAGUUCGGUAGGGGAGAUCGGAAUUCCUGGUGUAGCGGUGAAAUGCGCAGAUAUCAGGAGGAACACCGGUGGCGAAGGCGGAUCUCUGGGCCGAUACUGACGCUGAGGAGCGAAAGCGUGGGGAGCGAACAGGAUUAGAUACCCUGGUAGUCCACGCCGUAAACGGUGGGCACUAGGUGUGGGCAACAUUCCACGUUGUCCGUGCCGCAGCUA